GCUCGAGUGGCGAACGGGUGAGUAACACGUGAGUAACCUGCCCUUGACUUUGGGAUAACUUCAGGAAACUGGGGCUAAUACCGGAUAGGAGCUCCUGCUGCAUGGUGGGGGUUGGAAAGGUUUCGGCGGUUGGGGAUGGACUCGCGGCUUAUCAGCUUGUUGGUGGGGUAGUGGCUUACCAAGGCUUUGACGGGUAGCCGGCCUGAGAGGGUGACCGGCCACAUUGGGACUGAGAUACGGCCCAG
rnacentral:rRNA from 1 species